CCAUGGGGUAGAUUAAUUAAAAUUAACACCUAUAUCAAACAUUUUCAGGAAUAUAGAAUAUGAUGAACUGGUAGAGAAAGAAUUUUAAGAUGGCAUGUAAGAAUGAUAGAAUUUGAACAAAAUCCCUUUUAUUUAUUUAUGCCAAAAUCUGUGUGAAUGUAAAAUGCCAUCUUGAUCAUGCUUUAUUUAUGGUGUGUAUUUUUCUUUUGAAAAACAGGAAGGAAGGAAGGAAGGAAGGAAGGAAGGAAGGAAGGAAGGAAAAGAAGGAAGGAAGGAAG